rnacentral:rRNA from 1 species
GAUGAACGCUGGCGGCGUGCCUAAUACAUGCAAGUCGAGCGAACAGACGAGGAGCUUGCUCCUCUGACGUUAGCGGCGGACGGGUGAGUAACACGUGGAUAACCUACCUAUAAGACUGGGAUAACUUCGGGAAACCGGAGCUAAUACCGGAUAACAUGUUGAACCGCAUGGUUCAACAGUGAAAGACGGUCUUGCUGUCACUUAUAGAUGGAUCCGCGCCGCAUUAGCUAGUUGGUAAGGUAACGGCUUACCAAGGCAACGAUGCGUAGCCGACCUGAGAGGGGGGAUCGGCACAACUGGACCUGGACAACGGCCCGGCUCCUUAGGGGAGGAGCAAGGGGGGAUUCUGCGGCAAGGGCGGAAGGCCGGACGAGGAAAGGCGGGGGGAGUGAGGAGGGUCUUGGGUUGGAAAACUCUGUUAUUAGGGAAGAACAAAUGUGUAAGUAACUAUGCACGUCUUGACGGUACCUAAUCAGAAAGCCACGGCUAACUACGUG